CGAGGAAUAUUGGGCAAUGCCCGCAAGGGUGACCCAGCAACGCCGCGUGGAGGAUGAAUGUCGUAAGAUUGUAAACUCCUGUUAGAGGGGAAGAAUAGUACCGGUUGGACCGGUAUAUGACUGUACCCUCAGAGAAAGCCCCGGCUAACUACGUGCCAGCAGCCGCGGUAAUACGUAGGGGGCAAGCGUUGUCCGGAUUUACUGGGUGUAAAGGGCGCGCAGGCGGGAUAAAAAGUCAGUGGUGAAAUCCUACAGCUUAACUGUAGAACUGCCUUUGAUACUUUUACUCUUGAGUUCGGGAGAGAGAGACGGAAUUCCAGGUGUAGUGGUGAAAUACGUAGAUAUCUGGAAGAACACCAGUUGCGAAGGCGGUCUCUUGGUCCGACACUGACGCUGAGGCGCGAAAGCGUGGGGAGCAAACA
rnacentral:rRNA from 1 species